rnacentral:misc_RNA from 1 species
AAGUCGUAACAAGGUCUCCGUUGGUGAACCAGCGGAGGGAUCAUUACCGAGUGUAAAAACUCCCAAACCAUUGUGAACUUACCACUGUUGCUUCGGCGGCCUCGCCCCGGGCGCGUUCGCGCGGCCCGGACCCAGGCGUCCGCCGGAGGCUCCAAACUCUUGUCUUUUAGUGUAUUUCUGAGUGGCAUAAGCAAAUAAAUCAAAACUUUCAGCAACGGAUCUCUUGGUUCUG